ACCUCUCAGCUUUUGCUUCUAUAUAUAAAGAGGAACGGUAUAGAAUAAAUCAGCUGGAUGGGGGACACGUCCAAUCAAUUUUAUAACAAAAUAAUGCCCUUUCUGGGUUGAUCUACUGUAUUGAACCAGAGAGGGCAGCUGCAGAAUCUGAAACCAGAGGGUGCAGGUUUGCGGAGGGUGGUCAAGCAGUGCUGGGAAUUCACUGAAAACAGGUUCCCAGCUCAAACCAACAAAGAUUUAAGAGCUAAAAAAAAAAAAGCUUACAAGCAAUUUUUAUUUCCUACACAAACACUUCUCGUGCCCUGAAAAGUACCCCUCAUUUCCUGAAGUGAGUUCAGACCUCCUGCACAGUGUGUAAGAAACAAGGCAUAAACAAGGGGAUAAAUAUUAUGUCCCACAUCUGAAAACCAACUUCACAAAAAAUAUGCACUAAAUGAUACAUGAUAAUGGGGAAGGAGAUGCCAGAGGCCUUAAUGAAUGGUGGUAAGCAAGGCUGGAAAAAUAAAUUAUAUAAUAAUCUCCUAUUAUAUUCCCUUUGACAUAAAUUAAUCUUGACCCGGAACAAUAGUGCUCCUUUCCAAGGGAAAAUAACCCAAUGCAGUUUAUAAUCAUGAGUCAGGAGUCCAAUGCAAAGUGGUUUGUGUUUACUCUUUGUUGUUAAGAUUUUGCUUCAUCUAGUGAAUUUUGUGGAAAAGUCGGGAACAGGGAGAGCAACUUCCAGCCAGAACUGCCAGUUCCUGCCUCUGGGUGGCUGGGAAGAAGCUGCUGAACUUCAACCCAAGAUUCUCUUCAAAUUGCUCCGUGUCUUUCCCAAAAUGUGGUGCCCAACAUGGAACAAAGCAACCCAGCCAAGACCAGAGGAGUGUGGAAGGAUUAUUUCCCAUGUCUUACUAUUUCCCCAAUGUCUGCCAGUGCUCAAAUCCAGGAUUGAAGAAGAUGUUUUCUACUGCUGUUGUAGAUGGAUGCUGCUGGUGAAUCAGCACGUGAAAUAGGCUAAUUAAUGAUCUCUGGAAUAACCAAAUCCCUCCAGGUUUCAGUUUUACCUGAAGGGAUGAUGUGCCAGCAAAAGAGAAAUGCAAGAUACAUUAAAAUAAUACAGCAGAGUUACUACAUGAAGUGAA